UCCUCAGUAGCUCAGUGGUAGAGCGGUCGGCUGUUAACUGACUGGUGGUAGGUUCGAAUCCUACUUGGGGAG
rnacentral:ncRNA from 16 species